rnacentral:misc_RNA from 1 species
UUUUGAUAUUAAAUUUCUAAUAUACUCGCAUAUAUAUAUUAUUUCUCAUUAUAAUAAUGUUUCAUAACCUUACAUCCGUUGCUUUUUACAAAGUAUACAGACCACACAAUGGCUAAUGGCCUAAAUCCAUUAUCAGAAUACUAUAAGACACAAAAGAAAGCAGCAGAAGAGGAAAAUUGAGAUUCUGUUCAAUGAUUUGUAUGCCUGCAUUUCCUGCCUUCUUAACCUGGGGCUACUACUUGCCAUUGGGUGAUAUGAAUUUGGAUAUGUAUACAAGCUCUCUGAGUUUCCAAAAACCCUUGCAUAAACCAUCUCACCAAACAUCCCAACAAAUGGGUGGUGGAAUCCAGUCACUCUGGUGCCUCCAAGAUUAACUAGAGGUGAUGAUGAUGCCUCUUCAAAACUGCUGUAUGGAUCAGGAUUAUAGCUAUGAUUUUGAUAAGGAUUAUGGUAUGGAAGCUGCUGACCAGUUGGAGAUGUACUAGAUACCAAAGCUUGCGUACCAUAAGCUGACGGCCUAGGAGGUAUGACCAUGCCCCUAUAGGGUGCUUUUCCCUCGAGCUCAGCUUCAACUGCAGCUUGACCACGGCCAUAAAGGGGGACCAUGGUGGUGUGAGAUAUAUCAGCCUUGCAGACUGGGCAUUGUGGGUGCUCAUCAGAAGCAAGAGAGGCACUCUGGACAUGGAGCCAUUUAUAGAUACAGGGCCAGCAGUACAGGUGCCCACAAAGGGUGACCACUGGCUCACGUGCAAAGUCGAAGCAGAUAUUGCAAUCAAAGCAACCAUUAAAACUUUCCGAGCCAGUUGCUGCACUAGAAACUGAUUUCCAUUCCCGGGCAAAAUAUUGCUCAAAGUCCAUAGAUCUGCCUUUGAAGCUUGUCUCAGGUACAGACUUCCUUUGACUCUGAGAAAGAAGAAAAAAGAAGACCACAUUAGCAACUGAAUUUUAUUGCAACAUUUAGUAAUAUAGAUUUUACAACUCAACCUUGUAAACAUAAAAGUUAUUGAACUCACAGCUUGAAAGGAAAAGCAUCAAGAACAGAUUAUAGAACAUGUAACUAUAUCAGUCGCAUAGAAAAGCUUAACAAAGCAAAUACCCUAAGAAUUGCAUAAAGUUCUGAGCAAUUAUGUUGCUUCAACCAAGAAAAAUAUAAUAUUCCAAAUUCCAAACGAAAGGUCCCACCACGCAAUUCAAUAUUCAACAAAGGGCCAAAGGCUAAAGCAACUCAUCUACCAAAUAGAUAGAUAAAUUAAGAAGACCAACAGAUCAACAAUUUGGUUAUCUAAUCAAAUAAGGACGAUACAUGUGAAGUCCUAGUUCUCAAGUAGUUUUUCAUUUCUUCUAUUUUUAGAUUUUUCCUUUUAAAAUUGCAAAUUUUAUUUGUUGUGGCUUAAUUCCAUUGCUAAUGCAACAUAGCUACAAAGCAUUAACUUUCUGGUAAGGAUUCUCUCAGUCCACUUAUUAUAGAGUUUUAAACAGCAAGUCUUUGAAGUAUUCUAAAAUUCCAUCCUCUAUAUAAACACAAUAUUCUAGAUCUCUAUUAGGAAAAGAAAAAUAGAUAUAGAAUAAAGUUGUAAACAGAUUUUAAAAAAUGAAUUAUGAAAAGAAAAAAAAAUUCACAGAGAGGGAGAGAGGGAGAGUUUCAUAUCUUUUGCCAGUGAUUGGUGUAUUCAGACUAAUUCUAUUUAAUCCAAAAGCAAAUUCCUCCCAAACUCCAUUUAGGCACAGUGAUAGUGAAAACAAAUGGCUGAAUAAUCAGCAAAUUGAUCGUUUAGGGAAUCCAAUAUGAGCCCACAAGUGCAUUUAUACUAUGAUAUAAUUAUUGUCAAUUUCAUUGAUUAAAAUAUGGUGGACAAAGUCCAGCACAUAAAAAAUAAAAUAAAAAUAUUUAAUUGGAAGAAAUAAUAUGAAGCUUCCAAGCAAUGAUCAGUCACUGACUCCUCUAGAAGACAAAUCCUGACAUUUAGAUAUUCAAGCAAAUGGGUCCUUGUUGAAACGUGUAAUUCUGGAUUUCCAUUUUACAUCAAAAACCUCAUUCAAAUGCAAUUAGCAACAAUUCGAAGACUCAACAAUGUAUUCAAAACUCCACCCCAUCUACAGCCAACAUAAGUGCUCUCAAGCAAUGAAAUAUUUCUGAACACGGGUUUUAGGAUAUAUUUCUGAGAUUUAACCAUAUAAAUCUCCAAAACAGGUUAACUCAACAAUGAUAAACAGUGCAAUAAUAUCGGGAAAGAUUCCACUAAAGUAAACCUAACAAAUGAGAGAGUUAUUUUAAAAAUUCAAAAAAAAAAGGAGGGGAGGGGGAGAGACAGGAGAAUCAAAGUGAAAAAUAUGCUCAGGUAUCCAUGUAUCCCUAAAGAAAUUUCACUGGAUCUGGAAUGUGAGCCCACCAUAUAUUUAGAAAUUUGAGAAAUAUGCCUGCAUAAGCUAAUAGAUCAUGCAUAAUGAUAAAGAACAAGGUACAUAAAUGAAUCCUCAGGAAAAUUAGGAACAAGUUCCUCUAAUGAUCUUUACUUAGUUAAGAUCCACCAGGCAUCCAUUCAGGGUAAGAGUGUUAAUUCCUCUCCUCAUCACUUUCCUACCACUUCAACUCUAGCAAUUGCCAAACCAUGAAGGUACCACUUUCAUGUCUAUUACUGUUUUAACACAACCACAACAGCCAACCAUUAUUGUCCAUCAUCAAUUGUCAAUGCCAUCAUCAACCAACAAAACAUAAAAAAUUAUCUCAUGAAAGCACAAAUGAUUGUUUGAUUUAACAAAUGAAAUAAAGCCACAAAUAAAUGAGACCAAGAUGCUCACGAUCAAGCAACAGUACAAAUUUUCAACAUGGAUGAGAGAGAAAAAGCAAUUGUUGUUCUACCAGGCACAAAUAAGUACGAUCUUUUUAUUGCAACAAGGAAGUAAAUAUAGUUGGCCUGUAAAUUUUUGAAGGAAAAUGAUCUCCAAAGAAAAUGUUUAUAGAUGGCAGAACUUUUUAUUUCUGCUUAGAAAAAGGGAAAAAGAAAAAGCCUUCCACUUUGAACAGCCACAGGGAAAUAUCUAACAAAAAUCCAUGAUUAUUUAUCAAAGCAAGAUACAGGACAAUAGCUAAUUAAAGCAUCUCUUUUGUUGUUAAUCUUCUCAGACAAAACUUAUAUUAGCGCACUUUAAGAUAAUCAAGUUGUCCCUGCUCUUGAGCUUGUUUUUGACAUGAGCAGAAAGGAAGAAGUUCGCAAAUAUGACCAUUUCUAUGAUCCGUCAAUAAUCGUAGAAAAGCGUAGCAAAAUCAGGUAAAUGUCACAUUAAGACUUAAUCGAAAAGAAAAAACUUGACCAACUCAGCUUUACCUAAAGAUUCUCAAAGCUGAAACUCCAAACUCUGCCAAGCCACAACACGAACUUUGAGCAAUUGCAAAUAAAAUUGUCAAAAAGAGAACUUGAAUUUGAAUAGACCCUCGCCAAUUAAACCUGAUUAGUUUUGAUUAUCUGCAAUUUCCUAGCUUCAAUCUAAGAUACAACAUUUGUUUCCCGAGUUUGAAUCAAUAAAUAAGUACAGAAAACAUUUUCCCAACAAUAUAGUUCCCAAGAUGCCUAAAUUUCUCAAGCCAGGAGAGCGAUUUUCUACAAUUUUCCUUUUCCUCUUCUCGUUCUUUCCGAGAAAAGAAACAAACAAAACGGCACAUAAAUUUCUAGCCCAAAAUUCUAUCAUUUUCUAUUACUUUCCCACAACACACAAGGAAAAAAUGCAUUUCAAAAAACAGUGAGAUAUCAACAGAAGCUACAAAACACACAGGAUCCGUAAUUUUUUUCCUUCAAUCAGCACACAUGAGUGAAGCCAAGAAAGAAAAGAUUAAUCAAACCAGUUAAAAGUUGAAACAUACCAGGAAAAAAAAAAUCAAUAAAUGAGAAGAAUUGGCUCUUGGUUUAGGUGAUUGAGAGCUCCUCUGUAGCUUCAAUAGAUAAAAGAGAAAGGAGGAGGAGGACGAGGAGGAAG